rnacentral:rRNA from 1 species
UACACGACCGUACCGCAAACCGACACUGGUGCGCGAGAUGAGUAUUCUAAGGCGCUUGAGAGAACUCAGGAGAAGGAACUCGGCAAAUUGACACCGUAACUUCGGAAGAAGGUGUGCCUUUAGUAGGUGAAGGGAUUUACUCCUGGAGCCCAAUGAGGUUGCAAAAAAUCGGUGGCUGCGACUGUUUAUUAAAAACACAGCACUCUGCAAACACGAAAGUGGACGUAUAGGGUGUGACGCCUGCCCGGUGCUGGAAGAUUAAAUGAUGGGGUGCAAGCUCUUGAUUGAAGUCCCAGUAAACGGCGGCCGUAACUAUAACGGUCCUAAGGUAGCGAAAUUCCUUGUCGGGUAAGUUCCGACCUGCACGAAUGGCGUAACGAUGGCCACACUGUCUCCUCCUGAGACUCAGCGAAGUUGAAAUGUUUGUGAUGAUGCAAUCUCCCCGCGGAAAGACGGAAAGACCCCAUGAACCUUUACUGUAGCUUUGUAUUGGACUUUGAACAGAUCUGUGUAGGAUAGGUGGGAGGCUUUGAAGCAGGGUCGCUAGAUCUUGUGGAGCCAACGUUGAAAUACCACCCUGGUGUGUUUGAGGUUCUAACCUAGGCCCGUAAUCCGGGUUGGGGACAGUGCAUGGUAGGCAGUUUGACUGGGGCGGUCUCCUCCCAAAGUGUAACGGAGGAGUUCGAAGGUACGCUAGUUACGGUCGGACAUCGUGACGAUAGUGCAAUGGCAUAAGCGUGCUUAACUGCGAGACUGACAAGUCGAGCAGAUGCGAAAGCAGGACAUAGUGAUCCGGUGGUUCUGUAUGGAAGGGCCAUCGCUCAACGGAUAAAAGGUACUCUGGGGAUAACAGGCUGAUACCGCCCAAGAGUUCAUAUCGACGGCGGUGUUUGGCACCUCGAUGUCGGCUCAUCUCAUCCUGGGGCUGUAGCCGGUCCCAAGGGUAUGGCUGUUCGCCAUUUAAAGAGGUACGUGAGCUGGGUUUAAAACGUCGUGAGACAGUUUGGUCCCUAUCUUCCGUGGGCGCUGCAGAUUUGAGGAAGCCUGCUCCUAGUACGAGAGGACCGGAGUGGACGCACCUCUGGUGUAUCGGUUGUCACGCCAGUGGCAUUGCCGAGUAGCUAUGUGCGGAAGAGACAACCGCUGAAAGCAUCUAAGCGGGAAACUCGUUUCAAGAUGAGAUCUGCCGGGGCCUUGAGCCCCCUGAAGAGUCGUUCAAGACCAGGACGUUGAUAGGUCGGGUGUGGAAGCGCAGUAAUGCGUUAAGCUAACCGAUACUAAUUGCUCGUGCGGCUUGACCCU